AACAAACGCUGGCGGCGUGCCUAAUACAUGCAAGUCGAACGGGGUAGCAAUACCUAGUGGCGCACGGGUGAGUAACGCGUGGAUAAUCUGCCUUAGAGUGGGGGAUAACUAGUCGAAAGAUUAGCUAAUACCGCAUAAGACCACAGGAACUGCGGUUCAAGGGGUCAAAGGUUUUUCGCUCUAAGAUGAGUCCGCGUAAGAUUAGCUAGUUGGUGAGGUAAUGGCUCACCAAGGCGACGAUCUUUAACUGGUCUGAGAGGAUGAUCAGUCACACUGGAACUGAGACACGGUCCAGACUCCUACGGGAGGCAGCAGUAGGGAAUAUUGCACAAUGGAGGAAACUCUGAUGCAGCGACGCCGCGUGAGUGAUGAAGGCCUUCGGGUCGUAAAGCUCUGUCGCAGGGGAAUAACACAAUGAAUGUACCCUGUAAGAAAGGAUCGGCUAACUUCGUGCCAGCCGCCGCGGUAAAAC
rnacentral:rRNA from 1 species